rnacentral:rRNA from 1 species
AUUGAACGCUGGCGGCAGGCCUAACACAUGCAAGUCGAACGAGUGGCGGACGGGUGAGUAAUGUCUGGGAAACUGCCUGAUUGAGGGGGAUAACUACUGGAAACGGUAGCUAUUACCGCAUACCAUCAGAUGUGCCCAGCUGGGCUUGGCUGGUUGGUGGGGUAACGGCUCACCCAGGCGACGAUCCCUAGCUGGUCUGAGCGGAUGACCGGCCAAACUGGAACGGGGACACGGUCCAGACUCCUACGGGAGGCAGCAGUGGGGAAUAUUGCACAAUGGGCGCAAGCCUGAUGCAGCCAUGCCGCGUGUAUGAAGAAGGCCUUCGGGUUGUAAAGUACUUUAAGCGGGGAGGCGUUACCCGGAGAAGAAGCACCGGCUAACUCCGUGCCAGCAGCCGCGGUAAUAC